AGCCACCAGCGAGAUCUGAACUCGACCCUGGUUUACGAGACCAGUGCUCUAACCUCUGAGCUAUGGUGCGGC